UGGCCUAGCCAUUGCUGGUAGUGGUGGAGUGGCAGCCGCUAAAUAUGAUAGCCGUACUUUAAAAGGAAGCAACAGUUAGAAAAGAAAACCAACACCUCUCUCCCUCUGUCUGUCUGUUCCUUUCUCUCUGUUAGCCCCCUCUCUGUCUCUCUUCUCUCCUCUGCUGCUCCUGUCCCCAGAGGCCGGUCUCCCCCGCCCUCCCCCCUUUUCCCAUUCACUCUUCCCUAAUAAAAACCCCUCCACCUAAGCUCUGCCGCAUGGCGUCUUUUUCUGGAGCACCGCUUUUUAAAGUUACGCCUUGGGAGAAACAGAUGAGAGAGGAGCACAGAGCACGGCUGUGACACGCAACGUUUCCCCCUUGUCCUUGAGGCCCUGCCCAGUGUCCAGAGAUGUAGAAUUCCCAGCUUCCUCUCCAGCACCAUGUCUGCCUGCAGGACCCCGAGCUUCCAGCCACGACUCAGCUAUGAACCUUCUACAGCACCAAUGAUGAGCAGCCAUGGUAUGCUCACGGAUGGCGGCCUCUGAAGCCCAUACCUGGCUGAACUGUGUUCCCCUCCAGUUCACAAGUCAGGGUCCCAGAGCUCUGAGUGCACCUAUAUUGGUAGACAGCUCCUUUGAGACCAACAAGGACAGCAAAAGGAGGCCUCAUCUGAUCUUCUGAGAGGAAGCAGUAAGGGCCCAGAGUCGGACAGAGGGACAACCGGGUGCAGACACAGAGAGCCAUCUAUAAGCGAAGAGGCUUGAGAAGAAACCAAACCUCAGUGUUAGCCUAUGGCACUGGGAGCUGCCUGCCCACACUGUUAGGGAGCCAAACCUGGUCCACGUGGCCAGCAGGUUGACUGGCUGCAGGAGCCCGCAUGGCCAACCCUGGCCACUGUUUCCCUGCAGCGGAGACAGCAGGGAGUCCACGAUGCAAAGCUUCAUUCCAGAGCCUUGACCAGGAGGCUGCCUCUAUAUUUAUCCCACUAACUGCAGGGGAAUGUUUAUACCCAAAGAGAAGGCCUCCCCCGCGAGACGGGUCAUCUGCUCCUGGUUCCCGUAAGUCGUCAUCAUUGGGCCGCCUCCUGGAGGCUGGUGGAGGCUACUCAGCCCAAGGACAGAUGCCCUUGCAAACAAACCCAGCUCUGCUGUCUCUCAGCUUCAUUAGAAAUCUCAGUGCUUUGUAGGUACUCAACAAACAGGAGAAAUGAAUGCAGCGCCUGGGAAGAUGGCCCAGCAGAAAAAGGCACAUGCCUCCAAACCCGAGCUCAAUCCCCACAGCCUGUACGGUGGAGAGAGAAAACUGACUCCUGAAAGCUGUUGUCUGGCGUCCACUUGCCCACUGUAGCAGGCAUGCACACGUGCAUGCAUGCAGGCUCACAUACACA